rnacentral:rRNA from 1 species
GAUGAACGCUAGCGGCAGGCCUAAUACAUGCAAGUCGAACGGUGUCUUCGGACAUAGUGGCGCACGGGUGCGUAACACGUAUGCAACCUACCUUACACUGGGGGAUAGCCUUUCGAAAGGGAGAUUAAUACCGCAUAAGACAGUAGCUGGGCAUCCAGCAGCUGUUAAAGAUUUAUCGAUGUAAGCUGGGCAUGCGUCCAAUUAGCUAGUUGGUGAGGUAACGGCUCACCAAGGCAAUGAUUGGUAGGGGAACUGAGAGGUCAAUCCCCCACACUGGCACUGGGAUACGGGCCAGACUCCUACGGGAGGCAGCAGUAGGGAAUAUUGGGCAAUGGACGCAAGUCUGACCCAGCCAUGCCGCGUGCAGGAUGAAGGCGUUAUGCGUUGUAAACUGCUUUUAUACAGGAAGAAACGACUCUUGCGAGAGGCAUUGACGGUACUGUAUGAAUAAGCACCGGCUAACUCCGUGCCAGCCGCCGCGGUAAUAC